rnacentral:rRNA from 1 species
UACGGGGGGGGCAAGCGUUGUUCGGAUUUAUUGGGCGUAAAGGGUGCGUAGGCGGCGAGGUAAGUCUGGUGUGAAAUCCUGGGGCUCAACCCCAGAAUUGCACUGGAUACUGCUUUGCUAGAGGACUGGAGAGGAGAUUGGAAUUCACGGUGUAGCAGUGAAAUGCGUAGAUAUCGUGAGGAAGACCAGUGGCGAAGGCGAAUCUCUGGACAGUUCCUGACGCUGAGGCACGAAGGCUAGGGGAGCAAACGGG